rnacentral:rRNA from 1 species
CCUACGGGUGGCAGCAGUGGGGAAUAUUGGACAAUGGGGGGAACCCUGAUCCAGCCAUGCCGCGUGUGUGAAGAAGGCCCUCGGGUUGUAAAGCACUUUCAGUGAGGAAGAACGCCUGGUGGUUAAUACCCAUCAGGAAAGACAUCACUCACAGAAGAAGCACCGGCUAACUCCGUGCCAGCAGCCGCGGUAAUACGGAGGGUGCGAGCGUUAAUCGGAAUUACUGGGCGUAAAGCGCGCGUAGGUGGCUUGAUAAGCCGGUUGUGAAAGCCCCGGGCUCAACCUGGGAACGGCAUCCGGAACUGUCAAGCUAGAGUGCAGGAGAGGAAGGUAGAAUUCCCGGUGUAGCGGUGAAAUGCGUAGAGAUCGGGAGGAAUACCAGUGGCGAAGGCGGCCUUCUGGACUGACACUGACACUGAGGUGCGAAAGCGUGGGUAGCAAACAGGAUUAGCUACCCGUGUAGUC